GUUAAGAAAAGUUUGCAGAAGAACAAAAGCAAGGGAAAAGAGAUACCAGGAAGAACAGAGGAAGCUAAGAACAGAGGAAGCAAGACAUACACGAGUGUUAAAGAGAAAACAUAUAUAGAAGAAGAAGAAGAAGAUGUACAUGCUGCCGAGAAGAAUGAGAAGAAAACUGGUUAUGAAAAGUCUGCAUAAAGCUGUUAGUCUUGAUUUGUCUCGGGUAGUUAAUCUAGAAUAGUUCGGUACUGGAAGUUAGUCAAAGUUUGCUUCAGUUAGUUACUUCUUCUUCAACUGAUUUCAUAUCUGUAAAACAGAAUUUCAGAGUUAGUUCUUGUAUAUAAAAGGCUAAGCUCUCAUUUGUACGAUAUCAAGGAAAAUAGAAUAAAGAGGAAGUUCUUCAUCUCAAGAUCUCUCUACAGAUUCUUCAUUUUGUUUUUCUCUCUGCGCAUAAACUUCUUCAUGGUAUCAGAGCAACCGCAUCCUGAAGAAAUCAUCUUGAUGCUGAAUAAAUAGAGAAGAUCUGCACCAGAUCAAAGUUAGAUUCAAAGCUUCUUUGAUCUCUGAAGAUAUCCGAAGUUGUCCAACAAAGUUCUGUAAGUCGGUAUUCUUCAUCCACAUAUAAAUCAGCGAGAUUCUCAUUUGCAUCUUACUGCAAAUCAGUAGAGUUUGUGUCUGCAACUAGAGUUGAUCUAAGAUCAGGAAGAAUAGAAUGGCAGCAAGAAGUUUGAGAUAUCCAUUUCCUAUUCAUGUGAAUAUCUCGAAUUUCGUUACCAUCAAAUUAGCUGAGGACAAUUUCCUCCUAUGGCAAGCUCAAUUCUAUAGGUUCUUGAGAAGCCAAGAUCUAUUCGGUUUUGUGAAUGGGGAAAUUUCACCACCUGCAAAGACAAUACAGGUUGAAGAAGGAGGUCAAGUUUCUGAGAUCUCUAAUCCUGAUUAUAAUGAUUGGAUAAAAACCGAUCAACUGGUAUCCUCUUGGAUUAGUGGUGCAGUAUCAAAAAAUAUACUCAGCUUGAUAAUAGGGUUAAACACUGCUUAUGAAGUUUGGCAAGUUCUGUUAAACCGGUUCACACAAAAAUCAGUAGCUAAGGAGUUUGAGCUAAGAGGAAAAUUGCAGGCUUGUCAGAAACGUGAACAAACAUUAUCAGCAUAUCUUAGGGAAUACAAAUCAAUAUGUGAUCAAUUGAAUGCCAUAGGGAAACCAGUGGAUGAAAUCACAAAGUUAUUUGGAAUUCUGGAAGGCUUGGGACCUGAGUACGAAAGUUUUAAAACCACAAUCUACUGUUUGAAGCCCCAACCAGAAUAUGAUGAAGUAAUCUCACACUUAGAAAGAUUCGAAGCCAGGUUACAGACUUAUUCUUUAAAUCAGUUCAGACCUAACCUAGCUUACUAUGGACAAAGGAAAACUGAAGCCAUACAAAAUGAAGAGGCUGACAGAGAAUAUAUACAAUCAAAUGUUAUUCCUAGAGGAUCAAGAAUAAGUAAUCGUGGAGGAAGAGGUUAUGGAAGAGGAAGAACAUAUAAUACCAGGUAUAGAAACUUUGGUUAUCCUGGAAGAAAUAUGAGUUACAGGAAUAGUAACUCGAACUAUGAACAAGAAAAUCAGCAGUUCAAACAAAUCAGUACCUCCUCUGGCUUAGGUUCUGCUCAAGGGUUUAGACCAUACAAUGUAUCAGCACAAAGGUAUUAUGAUAUCAGGUCAUAUCCUACACCAAAUUCAAAGAUACAAUUAGAGAAACCAGCAGAACAAAAGCGACUUGAGUGUCAAAUCUGUAAAAGGCCUGGUCAUGAUGCUUUACAUUGUUGGUAUCGGUUUGAUAACUCCUACCAAGCUGAGGAUAUACCAACAGCUCUAGCAGCACUACAUAUCGAAGAGACAAUUGAUCAAGAAUGGUAUCCAGACACUGGAGCAACAGCUCAUAUCACUUCCAAUGCUGGUAUACUUCACAGUCUUUCUAAAAAUGACAAUGCUGAAACAGUUAUGAUAGGCAAUGGUCUAUGUUUACCUGUCAAAUAUAUUGGUAAUGCAAUAUUAAAUGCUGCAAUUGCUGCCUUGCCUCUAAAUGAUGUGCUGAUAGUUCCUGAGAUUAAGAACAAUCUUUUAUCAGUAUCAAAAUUCACUGAUGAUUACCCCUGUUCCUUUAUUUUUGACAAAACUGGUGUGUAUCUCAAGGACAGCACAACCAACACAACCAUGAAGCUAGGAAGGAAGGUUAGAGGGUUAUACAGAGUAGACCCUCAUGCUGCAGAAGCUUAUUUCACACAAAGACAGAGGAUUGUUGCAGAAAGUAUCUGGCAUCAACGUCUGGCUCACACAAAUCAGAGUAUUUUGAAGCAAUUGAAGGCUCAAAAUUUGAUUCAGUAUAACAAAGAAUCACACUCUGUAUGUAAGAGUUGCCAAAUAGCUAAAAGUACUGCUCUACCUUUUCCAUUGUCGAAUUUUACAGCCACAAAACCUCUACAACAGAUCCACUGUGACAUCUGGGGACCUUCUCCAGUUAAAUCUUUCCAGAGUUUCAAGUACUAUGUCAUUUUUGUUGACAAUUUCUCUCGGUUCAGUUGGAUAUACCCUUUAAAGCUGAAGUCAGAGUUCUAUAGUAUUUUCCUCAUGUUUCAAAAAUUAGUAGAAAAUCAGCAUAACUGUAAGAUCCAGACCUUUCAGUGUGAUGGUGGAGGAGAGUUUAUUAGCCAAAAAUUCAGAACUCACUUACAGAAUUGUGGCAUUCAACAGCAUAUAUCUUGUCCAUAUACACCUGAACAGAAUGGGAUACCUGAAAGGAAGCAUCGGCAUAUAGUCGAACUUGGUCUGGCUAUGCUAUACCAUGCGAAAAUUCCACUAAAAUUUUGGGUAGAUGCAUUUGUAACUGCAAAUUAUAUUGUUAACAUUCUCCCUACUCAAAAACUACAGAUGCAGUCUCCCUUCAGCAAGUUAUAUCAGCAUAAUCCAAGAUAUGAUCAUCUCAGAACUUUUGGCUGUGCUUGCUAUCCGUGUCUUCGACCAUAUGCACAGAAUAAGCUUGAUCCACGGUCUCUAACCUGUGUCUUUCUUGGAUACAGUGAUCACUAUAAGGGAUAUCGAUGUCUUCUCCCUACUACUGGUCAUGUUUACAUUAGUCGACAUGUAGUAUUUGAUGAGAAUUUUUUCCCAUUCUCUCAAAAAUUAGCAACAGUCUAUCCAUCCUAUACACACUUAUAUAAACUGUGGAUAGAAGAAGAGUAGUUCUUGGCUUCCUCGACUACAAAUCACACCACUCCUUCAACUUCUCAGUAUACAGAUUGGGAAAAAGAAGCCACAAUGAAUCACACAAAUGGAGGGAUCUCACCUGAAUACACAGAACAAGCAGUUUCUAUAUCACCAGCUGAAACUACUGUGGAACGAGUAUCCAUCACUGCUCAAGAUAGCCCUCAACAAAUUGAAGUACCUAGUUCCAUAACUGAGAUAUCAGAUGAAU
rnacentral:lncRNA from 1 species